CUACAGUCUUCCAGAAACCUCCUAGCGUCUACUCUGGACAGGACCUCAGUGCGCAGCUGCCCACCCAACAUGGUUUGAUGCUUGGAGAGUGGAUACAUGAGCAUCCGGCAGAAACUUCAGUACUACCGCUGGAUCCGUUUCCCCCCUGCCGGCGUGGUUCUCACAGCCCGCUUGGCUAGCCCCCGGAGCGGCCGCUCAGAAACUGUAAAGGAGGUGGAUUAAAGGAUCUUAAAGAAACGGUGGACUCACCUGGAUUUAUUACAGGUAGAUGAAUCACAAUACAUUUUUAGGUAUAUGUUGACUGUUUAAAUAACAGCUGGAAUUCUGUCUUUUUUUUUUUAGCCUCGGUGAAAUGAAAGUUGCUAAUAAAGAACCAAGUUCUAGACUGACGGGAGUCUGGACGCCCGAGUGAUUCGCUGUCUCCUCCAGAGAGGAGGGGGUUGUGUUGGUGCCAGGCUCGCUGGCAGACUACCAUGGCCUUGAGCGAUACAAGUGGCGACCCUUUGGCCCUCGGCUGCAGAAACCAACAUCCUCUUGUUGCCAAAGGAAGCGCUCACUCAGGCACCAGCACGGCAGUCGGCAGCAGUCGGGACCCACUUACAGCUGCUUCCAGUCCUGAUGACCACCCAGCGGAAGGAGGUGAAGACGCUACGGUUUUGGCUGAAGCCCAAACUUUGCAGCAGAGGUCGCACGGCGUCCAGAGAGCCGACAGGCCGUGUCAAAAUGGUGGCACGCUCAAACAAAACGGCACUCCGAGGAGCAUUGCGCCGUCGCCUUCCUCCUUCCCCGCUCCAGACGCCAAAAGAGGGGUUGGUCACCACUAUUCCUCCCCGACAUGUUCUCCUCCUCUCCAGCCUGUCUCCUGCCAGCACUGCCACCUCCACUCCGCCCUGUGCUGCCCCUGCGGGCAGCAGGAUUGCCCGAUUUUCAAAAGCCAGGGGACGAGUUCGGGAUCCAGCUCCAGUCCCAGUCCCGGAUCACACCCAGGAACUGCUUCAUGCUGCCUGUCCGCCUGCACCUACUGUCAUCUGCAUCCUCAUCACCCAUCGCCACAGCUCUCCCUGCAUCAUCACCAGCGCUGGCAGGAGCACCUCCAGAGCCAAACACAAGCAGCGGGCAUCAGCCCUGCAAGGCCUUUUCGAUUCCCCAAAAGCUAUGCUGAGCUGAUAGCCGAUUGGCCAGUGGUUGUGCUGGGGGUGUGCACGGUGCUCAUUGUGGUCUGUGCACUUGUGGGCAUCCUGGUUCCUGAUCUGCCUGAUUUCUCCGAUCCACUUCUGGGCUUUGAGCCACGAGGGACUGCGAUUGGUCAGAGAUUGGUUACCUGGAACAAUAUGGUGAAGAACACAGGCUAUAAAGCCACACUGGCCAACUACCCUUUCAAAUAUGCAGAUGAACAGGCCAAAAGUCACCAAGAAACCAGAUGGCCGGAGGAUCACUUGGACAGAGAGAAACGGCAUGCAGAGUGGGACUUCAGGAAAGAGUUUUUCUGCGAUGUCCCAGCUGACAGUUAUUCCAGGCUGGUGUUCACGUCUGCCCAAGGGAAAAAUCUGUGGAAUAUUCAGGCCAUAAAGUCAAUGUGUAAUCAAGACAACACAAGAGUGCGGUCUCACCGUGACUAUUGCAAUCUUUGUCAGCGCCUGAACAACGACUCCUGCUGUCCAAGCUGGACUCUUGGUAAUUACAUAGCUGUCCUCACCAACAGAUCGUCCUGUCAGAAAAUCACAGAACGCGAUGUAUCCCACACACUUAAGAUCCUACGCUCAUGUUCCAAGUUCUACCAUAAUGGCACCCUCGGCCCUGACUGCUGGGACAUGACGCUACCGCGGAAAGAUCAGCUGAAAUGCGGUGGCGUGCCUCGAAAGUGCACCAAAUACAACGCCGUCUACCAGAUUCUUCACUUCUUGGUGGACAAAGACUUCCUCAGUCCUAAGAGCUUGGAGAACCCUCCUCUUGUCCUCAAGCACAGCAUGCUCUUCUCCCCCACCGAGAAAGGGAAGUCCAUGAUGAACAUUUACCUGGACAAUUUUGAGAACGGGAACUCUUCCGACGGCAUCACCACCAUCGCAGGUAUCGAAUUUGGCAUAAAGCACGACCUGUUUCAGGACUACCUUCUCACAGACACGGUGUAUCCUGCCAUAGCCAUAGGGAUCGUGUUACUGGUCAUGUGUGUUUACACGCGGUCAGUUUUUAUCACUCUAAUGACCAUAAUCGCCAUCAUCAGUUCACUGAUUGUAUCUUACUUUCUGUACCGAAUGGUCUUUAACUUCGAGUUCUUCCCCUUCAUGAACCUGACCGCCCUCAUCAUCCUCGUUGGCAUCGGUGCAGAUGAUGCCUUUGUGCUUUGCGACGUUUGGAACUAUGCUAAAUCUGACAAGCCCUAUUCUGACCUGACGGAGACGGUCAGCGUGACCCUGCAUCACGCCGCCCUCUCCAUGUUUGUCACCAGCUUCACCACCGCCGCUGCUUUUUAUGCCAACUAUGUCAGCAACAUCACUGCCAUUCGCUGCUUUGGCGUCUACGCUGGCACUGCGAUUCUGGUCAACUAUAUCCUCAUGGUGACGUGGCUUCCUGCUGUAGUUGUGCUACACGAACGCUACCUUCCAAACAUGCUGACCUGUGCAAAACCGUCACACCAGCAACAAAGCUGCUGCUCUCGUGUGUUUUGGAACGGCUUUUGCCAGAAGGCCAGCAAAUGCCUGUUUACGGUCUCUGACGCAUCGAGGAUCUUCUUUGAGAAGGUCCUACCUUGCAUCGUCAUCAAAUUGCGAUACCUGUGGCUCCUCUGGUUCCUAGCCAUCACGGUCGGUGGGGCGUAUGUUGUUUGCGUAAACCCAAAGAUCAAGCUCCCAUCCCUGGAGUUAGCAGAGUUCCAGGUGUUUCGCUCGUCUCACCCGUUCGAGCGCUACGAUGCGGAAUACAAAAAACUCUUCAUGUUUGAGAGAGUCCAUCACGGCGAGGACCUCCACAUGCCCAUUACCAUAAUUUGGGGAGUCAGUCCUGUGGACAACGGAGACCCCCUAAACCCCAAAAACAAGGGAAAGCUGGUGCUGGAUAAGAGUUUUAACAUAGCCAGCCCCGCCUCUCAACUGUGGAUCCUCAACUUCUGCCAGAAGCUGAGGAACCAGAGCUUCAUCUUCCAGUCAAAGGAGCAAGACUUCACCAGCUGUUUCAUCGAGACUUUUAAAAAGUGGAUGGAGAACCAGGAUUGUGACGAGGCCUCUGUAUACCCAUGCUGCAGUCAGACAACGUUCCCGUACAAGCAAGAUGUUUUUGAGUUGUGCAUCAAGAGAGCCAUUAUGGAGCUGGAAGCCGGAGUACAAGCUACUCGCCUCGACAGCAAGACUCCCGAGUUCCAGAGUACCUACCUCUUUACACUGGCCUAUGAAAAGAUGUACCAGUUUUAUCGAGAGGUGGACGCCUGGAUCAAAGAGGAGCUUCGCAGUGCCCCUGUUGGCCUCAGUAAUGGUUGGUUUAUCAGCAACCUGGAGUUCUAUGACCUUCAAGACAGUCUUUCCGAUGGGACCCUGGUUGCCAUGGCGCUGUCAGUGGCGGUGGCCUUCAGCGUCAUGCUUCUAACCACCUGGAAUAUCAUCAUCAGCCUUUACGCCAUCCUGUCGAUCGCAGGGACCAUAUUCGUCACGGUGGGCUCACUGGUGCUUCUGGGCUGGGAGUUGAACGUCUUGGAGUCCGUCACCAUUUCUGUUGCCGUCGGCCUCUCAGUGGACUUCUCCGUCCAUUAUGGCGUGGCCUACAGACUCGCCCCAGAACCCGACCGUGAGGGAAAAGUCAUUUUUUCUCUGAGCCGAAUGGGCUCCGCUAUCGCCAUGGCAGCAGUGACCACGUUCGUUGCCGGUGCUAUGAUGAUGCCGUCCACUGUUCUAGCUUAUACCCAGCUGGGCACCUUCAUGAUGCUGAUCAUGUGCAUUAGCUGGGCCUUUGCUACCUUCUUCUUUCAGUGUAUGUGCCGAUGCCUGGGGCCGCAAGGCUCCUGCGGACAAAUCCCCCUUCCCAAAAAGCUGCAGUGCCCAGCUUUCUCUGAAGUCACGUCGACAGCGCCCCCGACCCAAGAGAAGAGCUUCGGCUUGGGAAAAUAUCAGAUCGAUUCUCGGAGCAAAGAGGUGGAGCAGUAUGAGCUGGAGCCGCUGGCGUUUGCUCAGAAAGCUGAAGAUAAACCCCAAGAAGAGCUGGAGCUGGGCACUCGGCUCUACAAUGGAGUCCCCCCUCACCACACCGCGCCCUUCCCUCACGCCCACCACAGGAGCUCUGAAACUGGUAGAUGUGGCCAAGAGAAUGGCCACCAAGUUGGACCGCCGUUUAGGUGCAAGUACUCUCAAAAUAUGAACUGCAGCUGCGCAGAUCCUUCCCACUUGCUGCAGCAGUGGACCCCCUGUUCCUGUGCUCCUCAAGACCCCCUUUCUUGCUCUGGCGCCCCACAUCUCCUCCCAGUCACUUUAAACGGCCCAAGCAAGCAAAACCCCACCCUAUUACCAUCCAACCGGGACCCAGUCCUCGCUCACAUGGAGUGUCAUGUCCAUUAUGUCCACUGUCCUUACACCCACUUACACAACUGCUCCCAAGGAAGAUUACUGACUCCUAAACAAGGCCCUGCCCAAGCCUGCCAGCUCAGGAAGUUCUGCAUUCAGUCCCCGAAACUGCAAGCCACUUCAGCCAGAGAACAGAGAAGUAUAACCUCAGCGGCAGGCAAAGAUGCAAGUUCAGGACCAGUGUCAGAGACUUCUAAAGAAAAUGACAAUUCUGGCAGCUGCCAAAAUAUGCCCGCCAAGGGUGUGAGACAAGCUCAAAAGGAGUGCCUCGUAUCACAAGAAACCUGCCAGGAAAAGCACAGAGCGGACGACGACUGUCACGCUGAAAAUCCAGCGUCCCCCACACAGACGGACGCUGACUGCAACCAGGGGACGCAAGAACGCAGAGUGGGGAAAAGGAGUAAGCAGAUCUCUACAGGAGAGUCACCCGCCUCCACAAAGAAAAUCUCUUGUUUUAACAGAACGUUGAAAGUGAAGAGCAGCUCAGCUUCAGAAGCUCACGUGCCAAAAAACGAAGCUAGCAUGCCUCCACCUGCAGUUGUUCCCUCCCCUGAAAGCAUAUGCUGACCAUAAGCUGACUUUAGAGAGUGCAGUCCUUCAUGGGGUGAGACAGAGGUACUAAAUAUAUAUUUUUUGAAAAAGCACAGAAGCAUUAUUUGCAGUGUUUUCUGCUUGUUUUGAACACACAACACUAAGCCUUAACUGUUUACAACAAACCACUGUUGCCACAGGUGGAAGAAAUCUGAAAAAGAUGCAUCCAUUUAUAAAGAAAUGUCUCACGCCUAUUCAAACAGCAGCCAUUUGCACCAAAGUGAAGUCUUACGGCGUUGAACUGUACACUUAUACGUUAAGACACGAUCAACCCAACCCUGUGCCAUUUUUCACCAGCUAAUGCCGACGUUCAUCACUGUGCAGUCGUCUCAGAUUUGAGCUGGACUAUCUGAUUAAAAUGUCAAAUGAACAUCCUCUUCUUGCUGGUUAUUUAAACACUUUUGACCUAUUUUCAAACUGUUCCCAGUGGUCUUUUAAUUAGGAUUUGACAUUUUUAGUCAAAACGUUUAAAAUAAACAGUCGUUUUCUAAGAUAUAGUUUCUGCA
ensembl:lncRNA